GUGGUUAAUGAUGUACACUCUUUCCCCGUCUGAUCGACUAUGCUGAUUCACGACUUACAUAAGCCAAUUAUAUUCUGAAACCAC